GACGAACGCUGGCGGCGUGCCUAAUACAUGCAAGUUGAGCGAUGAAGAUUGGUGCUUGCACCAAUUUGAAGAGCAGCGAACGGGUGAGUAACGCGUGGGGAAUCUGCCUUUGAGCGGGGGACAACAUUUGGAAACGAAUGCUAAUACCGCAUAACAACUUUAAACAUAAGUUUUAAGUUUGAAAGAUGCAAUUGCAUCACUCAAAGAUGAUCCCGCGUUGUAUUAGCUAGUUGGUGAGGUAAAGGCUCACCAAGGCGAUGAUACAUAGCCGACCUGAGAGGGUGAUCGGCCACAUUGGGACUGAGACACGGCCCAAACUCCUACGGGAAGCAGCAGUAGGGAAUCUUCGGCAAUGGACGAAAGUCUGACCGGGCAACGCCGCGUGAGUGAAGAAGGUUUUCGGAUCGUAAAACUCUGUUGGUAGAGAAGAACGUUGGUGAGAGUGGAAAGCUCAUCAAGUGACGGUAACUACCCAGAAAGGGACGGCUAACUACGUG
rnacentral:rRNA from 1 species